ACAUUUCUUCGGAACACACAUCAAUGGACUCAACCAAAGUUUGGCC
rnacentral:rRNA from 1 species